AUUGAACGCUGGCGGCAGGCCUAACACAUGCAAGUCGAGCGGAUGAAGGGAGCUUGCUCCUGGAUUCAGCGGCGGACGGGUGAGUAAUGCCUAGGAAUCUGCCUGGUAGUGGGGGAUAACGUCCGGAAACGGGCGCUAAUACCGCAUACGUCCUGAGGGAGAAAGUGGGGGAUCUUCGGACCUCACGCUAUCAGAUGAGCCUAGGUCGGAUUAGCUAGUUGGUGGGGUAAAGGCCUACCAAGGCGACGAUCCGUAACUGGUCUGAGAGGAUGAUCAGUCACAUUGGAACUGAGACACGGUCCAGACUCCUACGGGAGGCAGCAGUGGGGAAUAUUGGACAAUGGGCGAAAGCCUGAUCCAGCCAUGCCGCGUGUGUGAAGAAGGUCUUCGGAUUGUAAAGCACUUUAAGUUGGGGGGAAGGGCAGUAAGUUAAUACCUUGCUGUUUUGACGUUACCAACAGAAUAAGCACCGGCUAACUUCGUG
rnacentral:rRNA from 1 species